UACGUAGGGAGCAAGCGUUGUCCGGAAUCAUUGGGCGUAAAGCGCGCGUAGGCGGCCCUGUAAGUCCGUUGUGAAAGUCAAAGGCUCAACCUUUGAAAGCCGAUGGAUACUGCAGGGCUAGAGUCCGGAAGAGGCGAGUGGAAUUCCUGGUGUAGCGGUGGAAUGCGCAGAUAUCAGGAGGAACACCAAUAGCGAAGGCAGCUCGCUGGGACGGUACUGACGCUAAGGCGCGAAAGCGUGGGGAGCGAACGAGGA
rnacentral:rRNA from 1 species